rnacentral:rRNA from 1 species
UAAUGGGACUGCCCGGUGACAAACCGGAGGAAGGUGGGGAUGACGUCAAGUCCUCAUGGCCCUUAUAGGUGGGGCUACCCACGUCAUACAAUGGCUGGUACAAAGGGUUGCCAACCCGCGAGGGGGAGCUAAUCCCAUAAAGCCAGUCGUAGUCCGGAUCGCAGUCUGCAACUCGACUGCGUGAAGUCGGAAUCGCUAGUAAUCGUGGAUCAGAAUGUCACGGUGAAUACGUUCCCGGGUCUUGUACACACCGCCCGUCACACCAUGGGAGCGGGUCUCGCCAGAAGUAGGUAGCCUAACCGUAAGGAGGGCGCUUA